UCAUACGGCGGGCGGUGUGUGGGGAUUCUGUUUAUCCGCCGGUUUUUGGAUGACUGCACCGGUAUGCCAACCCGCACCGCCCGCCACCCUG
rnacentral:antisense_RNA from 1 species